rnacentral:rRNA from 1 species
UACGUAGGGGGCGAGCGUUGUCCGGAUUUAUUGGGCGUAAAAGGCUUGUAGGUGGCCACGUCAAGUCGGAUGUGAAAUCUCCCGGCUCAACUGGGAGGGGUCAUUCGAUACUGGCGGGCUCGAGGCCGGUAGGGGGAAGCGGAAUUCCCGGUGUAGUGGUGGAAUGCGUAGAUAUGACAUAGAACACCGAUAGCGAAGGCAGCUUGCUACACAAUCAUUGACACUGAGGCACGAAAGCGUGGGGAUCAAACAGG